CAAGAGAUGUGAGAUGUACAGACCAAAGGCAGAUAAAUAUGGACAUGGUGAUAAUAAAAUAUGGUGGCUACUCCAAUGAAGAUUUUAUGAUUGUCAUCAUGUGAAGAUAUUUCAUUUUGACCAUUGGAUGAUAGAUUGUAGAGUUUGAUUUUUAUUUGAAGUAAAAGUGUUACCUUUAUUUAAAGUGUUGCUAAACAAAUAAGUUACACUUUUUAAACAAGGAUCAUCAUGAGAAGAUAUUUUUGGCAUCUUCAUAGGAGUAGUUGCCAUAAAAUAUAAUUAAUGAACCACAAAAGCA